GUGGGCGGAAGCUCAUUGUAGAGGUCACGUGCUGAGUGCUCGUCACUCCACCAAUCACCUCGGGGAAGGUCUGAGACAGGAGCCAAUCGUUGUCCUUGCAGGGCAUCACCUGAUACGGGUGAGCGAGUGAACAGAAAUCAUUGGCCUAGUGUGCAGUUGUAACAGGAGACGCUGGAUGGCGCAAUUCCGCUCCUCCAGCUGAUGUGACUGGCACUGGCUUGGAAUCACUCGCGGCUGGCGAACUGAGUGCGAUGUAUGAGGUGGAGUACUGCUCCAGAACCCAAUUCAGACUACUCUCCUCCCAC
rnacentral:RNase_P_RNA from 1 species